rnacentral:misc_RNA from 1 species
GAAAUGCGAUACGUAAUGUGAAUUGCAGAAUAUGUGAGUCAUCGAAUCCUUGAACGCAAAUGGCGCCCAUUGGCUCUCCAAUGGGCACGCCUGUUUGAGGGUCGUUUUUCCUUCAUGCUCAAACCGCUGUUUGCGUCCUUCCCAAGGGGCGCAGCGCGAGUUUUGGAUGAUGAGUGUUCGGCAGUAGGGGUGGGUUUCCGCCCGGUGGGCCGAUCGCUUGAAAAGCAAACGGCGAAUCGGUUUGGGCGAGCACGGCGACUCGUCGGACAGCGUGCGAAUUGGGACACGCAACCAAACGGCACCGCCAUCCGACCGAGUGACAAGCCGGCUCCCGGAACCGAGCAGCAACAAAGGGAAAGCCACACACACACAAAAAAAUCGACCUCAAAUCAGGUGAGACUACCCGCUGAACUUAA